CCUACGGGAGGCAGCAGUGAGGAAUAUUAGUCAAUGGACGAGAGUCUGAACCAGCCAAGUAGCGUGAAGGAUGACUGCCCUAUGGGUUGUAAACUUCUUUUAUAUGGGAAUAAAACGUUCCACGUGUGGGAUUUUGUAUGUACCAUAUGAAUAAGGAUCGGCUAACUCCGUGCCAGCAGCCGCGGUAAUACGGAGGAUCCGAGCGUUAUCCGGAUUUAUUGGGUUUAAAGGGAGCGUAGGUGGAUUGUUAAGUCAGUUGUGAAAGUUUGCGGCUCAACCGUAAAAUUGCAGUUGAAACUGGCAGUCUUGAGUACAGUAGAGGUGGGCGGAAUUCGUGGUGUAGCGGUGAAAUGCUUAGAUAUCACGAAGAACUCCGAUUGCGAAGGCAGUUCACUGGACUGCAACUGACACUGAGGCUCGAAAGUGUGGGUAUCAAACAGGAUUAGAUACCCUAGUAGUC
rnacentral:rRNA from 1 species